rnacentral:rRNA from 1 species
AACGAACGCUGGCGGCAUGCCUAACACACGCAAGUCGAACGAGACCUUCGGGUCUAGUGGCGCACGGGUGCGUAACGCGUGGGAACCUGCCCUUAGGUUCGGAAUAACUCCCCGAAAGGGGUGCUAAUACCGGAUAAUAUCUUCGGACCAAAGAUUUAUCGCCUUUGGAUGGGCCCGCGUUGGAUUAGCUAGUUGGUAGGGUAAAAGCCUACCAAGGCGACGAUCCAUAGCUGGUCUGAGAGGAUGAUCAGCCACACUGGGACUGAGACACGGCCCAGACUCCUACGGGAGGCAGCAGUGGGGAAUAUUGGACAAUGGGCGAAAGCCUGAUCCAGCAAUGCCGCGUGAGUGAUGAAGGCCUUAGGGUUGUAAAGCUCUUUUACCCGGGAUGAUAAUGACAGUACCGGGAGAAUAAGCUCCGGCUAACUCCGUG